UGAUGCAGCAACGCCGCGUGCGGGAUGACGGCCUUCGGGUUGUAAACCGCUUUCACCCAUGACGAAGCGCGAGUGACGGUAGUGGGGAAGAAGCACCGGCCAACUACGUGCCAGCAGCCGCGGUGAUACGUAGGGUGCGAGCGUUGUCCGGAAUUAUUGGGCGUAAAGAGCUUGUAGGCGGUUGAUCGCGUCGAUAGUGAAAUCCCGGGGCUCAACCUCGGGCUUGCUGUCGAUACGGGUUGACUUGAGGAAGGUAGGGGAGAAUGGAACUCCCGGUGGAGCGGUGGAAUGCGCAGAUAUCGGGAAGAACACCGGUGGCGAAGGCGGUUCUCUGGACCUUUCCUGACGCUGAGAAGCGAAAGCGUGGGGAGCAAACAGGCUUAGAUACCCUGGUAGUCCACGCUGUAAACGGUGGGUACUAGGUGUGGGUCGCAUUCCACGUGAUCCGUGCCGUAGCCAACGCAUUAAGUACCCCGCCUGGGGAGUACGGCCGCAAGGCUAAAACUCAAAGGAAUUGACGGGGCCCCGCACAAGCGGCGGAGCAUGCGGAUUAAUUCGAUGCAACGCGAAGAACCUUACCUGGGUUUGACAUGUACUGGAAGCGCUCAGAGAUGG
rnacentral:rRNA from 1 species